AUACGGAGGGUGCAAGCGUUACUCGGAAUCACUGGGCGUAAAGCGCGCGCAGGCGGCCAUUUAAGUUGGAUGUGAAAGCCUACGGCUCAACCGUAGAACUGCAUCCAAAACUAUUUGGCUAGAGUGUGGGAGAGGACGAUGGAAUUAGUUGUGUAGGGGUAAAAUCCGUAGAGAUAACUAGGAAUACCAAAAGCGAAGGCAAUCUUCUGGAACACUACUGACGCUGAGGCGCGAAAGCGUGGGGAGCAAACGGGAUUAGAAACCCCAGUAGUCC
rnacentral:rRNA from 1 species